UACGAAGGGGGCUAGCGUUGUUCGGAUUUACUGGGCGUAAAGCGCACGUAGGCGGAUCGUUAAGUCGGGGGUGAAAUCCUGGAGCUCAACUCCAGAACUGCCUUUGAUACUGAAGAUCUUGAGUCCGGGAGAGGUGAGUGGAACUGCGAGUGUAGAGGUGAAAUUCGUAGAUAUUCGCAAGAACACCAGUGGCGAAGGCGGCUCACUGGCCCGGUACUGACGCUGAGGCACGAAAGCGUGGGGAGCAAACAGGG
rnacentral:rRNA from 1 species